rnacentral:rRNA from 1 species
GAGCGAUAGCGGAUAGUACCGUGAGGGAAAGGUGAAAAGCACCCCGGGAGGGGAGUGAAAGAGAACCUGAAACCCUAUGUUUACAAACAGCGGAAGCAUCCUAGUAGGUGCGACCGUGUACUUUUUGUAGAACGGGCCGGCGAGUUACUUUGUGUAGCAAGGUUAAGGCAUAGCAGUGCCGGAGCCGAAGGGAAACCGAGUCUUAACAGGGCGCACAGUUGCAUGAAGUAGACCCGAAACCAGGUGACCUAUCCAUGUGCAGGUUGAAGUGGAAGUAAAAUUCCAUGGAGGACCGAACCAGACGUCUGUGAAAAAGGCGGGGAUGACAUGUGGAUAGCGGAGAAAUUCCAAUCGAACUUGGAGAUAGCUGGUUCUCCCCGAAAUAGCUUUAGGGCUAGCCUCAUACAAGAGACCUGGAGGUAAGGCACCCAAUGGGCUAGGGGGCUUCACAGCUUACCGAACCUUAUGGAACCAAGAAUGCCAGGGACUCGAUGUAUGGGAGUCAGACUGCGGGAGAUAAGUUUCGUAGUCAAGAGGGAAACAGCCCAGAUCACCGGCUAAGGUCCCAAAGUGCAGGUUAAGUGGAGAAGGAUGUGAGGAUGUGUAAUUGCAUAGACAACCAGGAUGUUGGCUUAGAAGCAGCCAUACAUUGAAAGAGUGCGUAACAGCUCACUGGUCGAGUGAUUAUGCGCCGAAAAUGUCCGGGGCUAAACCUGACACCGAAGCCGUGGGAAUCGUGUGCUUCACCGUAAGCACUCAAAACGCUAAAGAACAGGACUUUUUGUGGCUGAGCGAAGCUCAGACACCAAAUGCAAAAAAGAUAAACCUGUGAAAGUAAGGAGCGCUAGAGUGAUUAGGGUGAAGUGCAUGGUUCGGUAGGGGAGCAUCGUAUGAGAGCAGAAGCGUGAGCGAAAGCGAGCGUGGAUUUUAUAGGAGAGAGAAUGCCGGCAUGAGUAGCGAGAGCAAAGUGAGAAUCUUUGCCGUCGAAUGCCUAAGGUUUCCAGAGGAAGGCUCGUCCACUCUGGGUAAGUCGGGACCUAAGCCGAGGACGUAGAAGUCGUAGGCGAUGGACAACAGGUUGAUAUUCCUGUACCACCGAGCGUUGAUAUGGAAGCACUGACACAGGAGGAUAAGCAGAGCGGGCUGAUGGUAGAGCCCGUCCAAGCGUUGAGGCUGGAGCGUAGUGAAGUACGCGCUUCGUAAGGCUGGGGCGUGAUGGGGACAGAAAACAAGUAUGGAAGCUGCUGAAUUCACACUGGCGAGAAAAGGUGCUACAUGAUGCGAGGUGCCCGUACCGCAAACCGACACAGGUAGGCGAGGAGAGAAUCCUAAGACGGACGGGAGAACCCUUGUUAAGGAACUCGGCAAAAUAACCCCGUAACUUCGGGAGAAGGGGUGCCUCGAGAGAGGCCGCAGUGAAAAGGCCCAAGCGACUGUUUAGCAAAAACACAGGUCUGUGCAAAAUCGAGAGAUGACGUAUACGGGCUGACGCCUGCCCAGUGCCGGAAGGUUAAGGGGAAGUGUUAGGAGCAAUCCGAAGCACGGAACUUAAGCCCCGGUGAACGGCGGCCGUAACUAUAACGGUCCUAAGGUAGCGAAAUUCCUUGUCGGGUAAGUUCCGACCCGCACGAAUGGCGUAACGA